AAUAUACUCCCUCCGUCCCAAAAUUCUUGUCUUAAAUUUGUCUAGAUACGGAUGUAUCUAACACUAAAACGUAACUAGAUACAUCCGUAUUUAGACAAAUCUAAGACAAGAAUUUUGGGACGGAGGGAGUAGUAU
rnacentral:pre_miRNA from 1 species